rnacentral:rRNA from 1 species
AUUGAACGCUGGCGGCAUGCCUUACACAUGCAAGUCGAACGGCAGCACGGGAGCAAUCCUGGUGGCGAGUGGCGAACGGGUGAGUAAUAUAUCGGAACGUGCCCAGUCGUGGGGGAUAACGUAGCGAAAGCUACGCUAAUACCGCAUACGAUCUAUGGAUGAAAGCGGGGGAUCGCAAGACCUCGCGCGAUUGGAGCGGCCGAUAUCAGAUUAGGUAGUUGGUGAGGUAAAGGCUCACCAAGCCGACGAUCUGUAGCUGGUCUGAGAGGACGACCAGCCACACUGGGACUGAGACACGGCCCAGACUCCUACGGAGGCAGCAGUGGGGAAUUUUGGACAAUGGGCGCAAGCCUGAUCCAGCAAUGCCGCGUGCAGGAUGAAGGCCU